rnacentral:lncRNA from 1 species
UCAACUCCAAAAUCGAAAUGUCAGGGUACCCUCAACAACCAGCUGGCUACGGCUACGGCCAAGGCCCACCGCCAUCACAACAAUCCCAACCUUACGGUUCUGCAGCGCCAUACACCUCUCCUUACGGCGCACCACCACAACCUUCUGCUCCAUACGGCACCGCACCACAACCUACUGCUCCAUACGGCAGCGCACAACAUGCUGCUCCAUACGGCACCGCGCAAGCUUAUGGCUCCCCCUACGCAGCUGCCCCUCCCGGCACCAAGCCUCCAAAGGACAAACCCCAAGGUUCCACACCUGGCGGCUAUCCUCCUGCUCCCUACGGAAGCAGCCCCUUUGCUUCUCUC